rnacentral:lncRNA from 1 species
GGGUUGAUCCACAUGUUGUCAGGUUGACUCAGGUCGAUGGGGACCCUUGGCAGGUUUUGGGAAAACUGGACAACGGCCAUGAGACGUGUUGGAGGAACGAGGGCCGAUGGCCACGUGCGUGAGGAGUCCCUUCUGAAAUGGCUCUAUAGGAAACCGUCACGUAGCGUCCAUAUGUAUAUGUCGUGUUUUCACAGGAUCUCACAAGUACAAGAUGACACGGAGUGAAAAUCGGAGGGGAACACAGUCCCCCACACACCACAGACGUGCCCUCAGGGACAGCUCGUCCAAAAAUGGUGCAUGGGGAGAGCGGUGCUAACGGUGUCCAGGUCUGGAAGAGCUGCCCGCCCCCGCCCUUCCAGAGAGAAAGCAGGGAAAGCCAGGCACCCCUUUGGUAUUCUGCGCUUCCCCGUCCGAAGUCGGGACCUUAUGUUCAUGCUCCCGGGGAGAUGAGCUACAGAGCCGCCUUCUGCACAUGCCUUUGGUCACAAAUACACCACACAAGUUGGACAUCGAGGAAAAAUCAGGGCUCAGCCCUAAAAUCCCCACGGCCCUGAGAUGUUCUGAUUUUAGAGAGGAUUCAAGACUAUAUUUCACCAGACUCGCUUCCCUCUUCCUUAGAGGAAUUAUAAGGAGUGACAAUGACCCUCCUUUGAGCAAAGCAUUCGGAGCCUCUAACAGAAAGGAGCGGCAUUAACUUUAUCUCCAAAACGACAUGCACCUGUCCUGUUGGGGGAGCUGUGAAUGGAUACUUCUGUGCUGAGCUGCGGGAUCACUGGAUGCUGCCCCUGGUCGCGGUUGAGUGAGUUCGGGAGAUUGGGAAACGCGCUCUUCUGGAAUUCAUACACGGGGAAUGUUACUCAUCCAUGAGAAGGAACGGAGCUCUGACACCGGCUACCAUGUGGAUGGAUCUUGAGGACGUGACGGUGAGGGAGGAAGCAGACGCACAAAAGGCCACAUUGUGUGAGACUCUGCUUAUAUGCCAGGACGUUGACCGUUGGCUUUGUCUCCACGCUGCUGGCCCAUCGUGCUCAUUGUGCUCAACCUCACGCCUUCAUCCGCACAACUCCACCCAUGGCUGCUUUCUGCCCCUCUCUUCCCUAGAAGCUUCUCCAGGGAACCAUCCCUGUCUCUACCACCUGUCACCUUCCAGAGCCUUCUGGAAACUUCUGGAAGAUGCUAUCUCUGACCACCAUCUUGGGCCUCGCUUCUUGUCUCCCCAGGUCCCCACACCAGCCUGUGUUGCCUUCACUCUCACAUCCCUCCCCUCCAGUUAGGUCUGGGAGCAGCUUCUUUAUUGUGGGGUCAGGACCCUAAGGGCUGGAGACACUUGGGUAGGAAGACCCUCUGCUUCCAGAAUCACCCGUGCAGGGGACUGGUGUGAACUGGGGGUGAGCCCAGAUCUGUGUCGAAGGUCACCAUGCUCAUACUCUUCCCACCUCACCCCAGGCGGCCUCACACAAGGGAAAAGUACAGGAUAGAGAGGUGGGUUAGAAUUUAAAACACUGGAAUGGGGACCUUCGUCAAACGCGUGCUCUGGUUUGCUCUUGUUCCAACCUGGACUCCAUGGCUUUGACUAUCUUCACCGUAACACAUGGAUACUCAGGCAACAUAAAGAAGAUGCACGGACCACAUUUGCUGUGAUAAUCCUAAUUGUUUUCAGCAGAGAACAAUCCAUCUAUAGGUGUUUCCUCCACGUGAUUAUGGCUCCAGUGGAAUCAGAGUUAUGGCGACAUCCAAGCUGCCUCAGUCAAAGGCUCUGUUCAAUACAUUUUAUUUCACGCCUGCCCUUGGAUGCGCACAGAACGGUGCUCUUCCGAGAAAGAAAUUGAAACAUUAAAUUAAAUUAAAUUAAAUUUUAAAAAGAAGGAAGAAAUUGAACCAAGUUUGGUUGGACCAGCAAUUCUAAGAUGGAGCAAAUCAUCCCACCAUCGACGUGGACUAAUGGCGUCUUGCAGAAAGAGUGUGCUUAACUCUGAAAGAAUCCAGGUUCCAGGUGCAUCUCACCGACAUAGGUCUGGAUGCGCAUCUGGGACGGACAUAAAGUCAGAGGCUUUCCUCAGCGCAGAAGACACCAUUUUCCUGUUUUUACCUGCAAUUCACUCGCAAUCUGAUAGACAUUUUCAUCCAAAGCCAGAUCCCUUCCAACCCAGGGUCUGCAAACGUGAGGUCUGCGCUCAUGUGGGGGUGAAUCAAAAAGGAUUCGUGUCAAUUGUUUCUGCCAUACAUUUAUUUAGCUUUUAAAUACUCUUUCCAAAGGAACAUGGCUACUCGCCUGUCCCUUGUGUGCCUACGUGGCAUGUUGGGUUUUUCUUCAUGGCACUGAAAAUAUCGUUAAACGUCGUGUGUGGUCGUCCUCAUUUAAAAGUUACCAGAAGGUAGCAUGAGACCUGCCUCCAGAUCCUUUGAUGUGAUAUGUAUCUAAAUGCAUAGUAGUGUUUGCCAGACACCAGAUAAAGGACUGACUUAGCAAUUGCCCGGGAGAAUUGAAUCACUUCUGACAGCCGGAGCAGGUCAUUUGUGAUUUUUAGAAGCCAUUUUACGCAUGAGGGUUAAUCCAGUCGGGUCUUCUAUCAGAUUUUUAGAGGACGCAUGUAUUUUUGUGGGGGGACUUUUGACCGUAGAUUUGGUUUUAAUACAUCACAUGGGUUUCCAGCAGUCGGUGGAUCUUACAAUGGGGCAAAACAUGUAUGGUCUUGGCAAGGGGUUUGUGUAAAUGGGUGUGGGUACGUGUGAAAAUUUGCAAUUCUUUGCUAUGCUCAGUGAAACUGGAGGAGGAAUGGAAGCAUUGGGUGCUGCUUUUGCAAGGUCUACACCUCUGCUUUAUUUUAUAUCUGUUUCUAACAGGCACUAACGUGUUGUUUUACAAAUGAGGGAGAAUCAUCGAUACUGUUCACUGACCCAAAGUCUCUAAUCAACCCGGAACCAUCUGGCUGGACCUGAGGGGGACACACCAGUCUGAAUUCAAGAACGAACCAAAAUACAUUAAAAUAGAAUCACCUUUUGUGAAGAGCCAGUUUACCCUAGCGCAUAUGUGGAGACGGUGCUCUUGACACUGUGAUCUCAAAUCACUGGAAACCCAUGUGGCAUAUUAAAACCAAAUCUACAGUCAAAAGUCCCCCCACAAAAAUAUAAUCAAAUCAAAACACUUCUUAGAAAUUAGAAACCUAUCUGAGGGGGCACCUGGGUGGCUCAGUUUGUUAAACACCUGCCCUUGGCUCAGGUCAUGAUCCUGGGGUUCUGGGAUGGAGCCUCGCAUCGGGCUUCCUGAUGAGCGGGGAGUCUGCUUCUUCCUCUCUGUUUCCCCGCUUGUGCUCUCUCAUAUGCUCUCUCUCAAAUAAAUAAAUAAAGUCUUAAAAAAAAA